AGAUUGAACGCUGGCGGCAUGCCUUACACAUGCAAGUCGAACGGCAGCACGGGAGCAAUCCUGGUGGCGAGUGGCGAACGGGUGAGUAAUACAUCGGAACGUGCCCAAUCGUGGGGGAUAACGCAGCGAAAGCUGUGCUAAUACCGCAUAAGAUCUACGGAUGAAAGCAGGGGGAUCGCAAGACCUCGCGCGAAUGGAGCGGCCGAUGGCAGAUUAGGUAGUUGGUGAGGUAAAGGGCUCACCAAGCCUUCGAUCUGUAGCUGGUCUGAGAGGACGACCAGCCACACUGGGACUGAGACACGGCCCAGACUCCUACGGGAGGCAGCAGUGGGGAAUUUUGGACAUGGGCGAAAGCCUGAUCCAGCCAUAGCCGCGUGCACGGAUAGGAAGGCCGUUCGGGUUAGUUAAACGUAGUCGUUUUA
rnacentral:rRNA from 1 species